AAAAAAAAAAGUCACCCCUGACCAAAGGAUUAGCUGAAGGUAAUCAGAGCACCAUUGUGGCCUGGCUGUGGACUUCAGCCCACUGGUGGUGGAUAAUUUUGGCAUCUCAGAAGCCUUAUGUAGGAGGAACAUGAUUCACACAGAGCUCAACGUGCGGCAAAUAUUUAGGUGAUUUAACUGUGGUGACAUUUGGCUGAAAUGAGACCAUUGGGAUCCAAACAUACUCCCACAUAUACAGGAGCAAGAGAGAAAAGCAUACAGAGAAAGACAGAAGAAACACAGAGAAUGGAUUAUAAAAAUAACACAAAAUCUGGAAAACAUGGAAUCCAGGAUCAAAGAGGAGAUGAGAAUUCAUCCCUGAAUAUCAGGUAUGUUUCAGAGGAAUCCUGUUUUGAGCUAAAUCAUCUAUGGCUCCAAAGGAAGUCUAUUUCCCCUUCAGUCUCCAAAGGAAGGAUACCUGUCUUUAAUUUCUUCAAUCCACAAGUACUUCCUAAAGGAAAAGAAGAAUUUUCUAUUUUUACCUAUUUUGUGUUCUCUGGUAUAUAAUGUGACAUAGAAAUGUGAUUCUUUCCUUGCUACACAAAGCAUCUUAUGUCAAUAAAGCCAAACUAGCCACC